AUUGAGAGGGCAGAGAGAGAGAGAGAGGAAGAAAGAGAGAGAGAGGCUGAGUAUCAAGCCCAGGCCUUGCAUAUGAUAGCACAGUACUCUACCACAAAGCUACAUCCAUGGCCCUUGUUUGUUUUGCUUUGUUUUUUGUUUAUUUGUUUGUUUUAAUAUAGCUUUCAUAUAAUAAUAUAUCAAGGACUAAGUAUAGAUCUUUCAUAUUAAAUAAAAGUUCAUGAAUUUCUAGGCACAAGGAAUAUGAGGUAAAUAUCCAAACACGGGCAUGUUCUUGGUUCAACUCUAGAGUUGCAUUGAGUGUCCUGGCGGCAGCUUUCUCUCAGAGAACAACAUGGAAGCUGCUUCCAUUAGAAGUCAUUGAAAACGGGUGAGUCCUACUCAGUGUGAAAGAUUCUGUGACAUGAGAACAGGAAAGAAGAACUCUGGAGCCCUCUCAGAAGCUACCACCACACCAUGGACUUUAUUCAGAAUGGGCUGAGUGGAGCACCAUCAGUGGACUCUGAGCAGGAGCGUAAACAGAAGAUGAUAACACAUGAGUCACAGCGAGGGUGACCUUCCUGGGGUGACGUCAGCUAGCUGGCCCUUCUUCUCACCGUGCCUCCGCUCUGGCGUGCUCCUGGAAAUAUUCAGUCUUCCCAGUACCUAGUUAAUGAUUAAAGCACAUUCCACAAGAUCCAAAGGGCACAGAAAGAUGUGCCCAGUCGCUGGAUCACCAGGCACUUGCUAUUUUAUGGACAGUCAUAAAUGAUAAGAGGGCACAGGGUUCUGGACUCCAAAAGGCAACUCUGAAGACACACAGUCAACCCAUAUGGACAUUCCCUCCUCAAAUCCAAGCUUCUUUUGCAUGUGAGAGCCCCUGUGAAACUUCUAAACACUGCUCACACAUGCAGGACCAAUGAUGCUCUCCUCCAU